rnacentral:rRNA from 1 species
AACGAACGCUGGCGGCAGGCUUAACACAUGCAAGUCGAGCGCCCCGCAAGGGGAGCGGCAGACGGGUGAGUAACGCGUGGGAAUCUACCCAUCUCUACGGAAUAACGCAUGGAAACGUGUGCUAAUACCGUAUACGUCCUUCGGGAGAAAGAUUUAUCGGAGAUGGAUGAGCCCGCGUUGGAUUAGCUAGUUGGUGGGGUAAAGGCCCACCAAGGCGACGAUCCAUAGCUGGUCUGAGAGGAUGAUCAGCCACACUGGGACUGAGACACGGCCCAGACUCCUACGGGAGGCAGCAGUGGGGAAUAUUGGACAAUGGGCGCAAGCCUGAUCCAGCCAUGCCGCGUGAGUGAUGAAGGCCCUAGGGUUGUAAAGCUCUUUCACCGGUGAAGAUAACGACGGUAACCGGAGAAGAAGCCCCGGCUAACUUCGUGCCAGCAGCCGCAGUAAAAC